ACUACCUGCACUGGGUAUACAGUGUACAUAGCUCAGACUACCCUCCAAAAGUCCUGUCCCCACAUAUGCUGCAUGCAGUUUAGAUCUGGAGAAAUAACUUCUCAGGGAGGGAAGAGGUUUUGGAUUUCUUUGAUUCAGAAAUCUGGGGGGAUUAUUCGCAGGACACUAUACUCUCUUUUUAUUAUCUAUUUUAUUGUCAUUAAACUCCAUGUACUUUAUUGGUGACAAGAAAAAGUGGACAAUAAGGAUGGAUGCAGCACGACAGGAUGGCUGGAUUCCUCAGAUGGAGACAGGACCUCCAGGCAGAACCAGAUGAAUGUCUUCUCAGGACAUGUAGUGAAUUGCAGGAACCGGAUGCUUGAAAGAUUCACCCUGCAGAAGUUCCUGUGUGAUUCUAGGCAAG